rnacentral:rRNA from 1 species
GAUGAACGCUGGCGGCGUGCCUAAUACAUGCAAGUCGAGCGAACAGACGAGGAGCUUGCUCCUCUGACGUUAGCGGCGGACGGGUGAGUAACACGUGGAUAACCUACCUAUAAGACUGGGAUAACUUCGGGAAACCGGAGCUAAUACCGGAUAAUAUAUUGAACCGCAUGGUUCAAUAGUGAAAGACGGUUUUGCUGUCACUUAUAGAUGGAUCCGCGCCGCAUUAGCUAGUUGGUAAGGUAACGGCUUACCAAGGCAACGAUGCGUAGCCGACCUGAGAGGGUGAUCGGCCACACUGGAACUGAGACACGGUCCAGACUCCUACGGGGGGCAGCAGUAGGGAAUCUUCCGCAAUGGGCGAAAGCCUGACGGAGCAACGCCGCGUGAGUGAUGAAGGUCUUCGGAUCGUAAAACUCUGUUAUUAGGGAAGAACAAAUGUGUAAGUAACUAUGCACGUCUUGACGGUACCUAAUCAGAAAGCCACGGCUAACUACGAG